GACGAACGCUGGCGGCGUGCUUAACACAUGCAAGUCGAACGGAAAGGCCUGCUUUCCCUUGUGGAUUGCGGGUACUCGAGUGGCGAACGGGUGAGUAACACGUGAGUUAUCUGCCCCAAACUUUGGUAUAAGCCUGGGCAACUGGGUCUAAUUCCCGAUAGCACUGCAGGGUGGUGUCUGUGGUGGAAAACGAUUUUCUAGUGGUUGGGGAUGAGCUCGCGGCCUAUCAGCUUGUUGGUGGGGUAAUGGCCUACCAAGGCGGCGACGGGUAGCCGGCCUGAGAGGGUGGACGGGCACAUUGGGACUGAGACACGGCCCAGACUCCUACGGGAGGCAGCAGUGGGGAAUAUUGCACAAUGGGCGGAAGACUGAUGCAGCGACGCCGAGUGGGGGAUGACGGCCUUCGGGUUGUAAACUCCUUUCGACCGCGAGGAAGCCACCUGGUUGGAAGGGUGGUGACGGUAGUGGUAGAAGAAGCACCGGCUAACUACGUG
rnacentral:rRNA from 1 species